GAUGAACGCUAGCUACAGGCUUAACACAUGCAAGUCGAGGGAACGACGCACGGGUGAGUAACACGUAUCUAACUUGCCCUUUAAUCGGGGAUAGCCUAUUGAAAGAAAGAUUAAUACACGAUAUAAAGAAUGGGGAUGCGUGCCAUUAGGUUGUUGGUGAGGUAACGGCUCACCAAGCCUUCGAUGGAUAGGGGUUCUGUGAGUAAGGUCACUGACAUUGAAACGGGGACACGGUCCAAACUCGUACGGGAAGCAGCAGUGAGUAAUAAUGGUCAAGAGGCGCUAGCCUGAAACAGCCAAGUAGCGUGAAGUGUGAAGGCUCGUGGGUCGUAAACUUCUUUUAUAUAAGAAUAGGUAUUAUAUGAGUAAGGAUCGGCUAACGCCGUGCCAGCAGCCGCGGUAAUUC
rnacentral:rRNA from 1 species